ACUGAAUAGAUACCCGGGUAGUCCACGCCGUAAACGAUGGGUACUAGGUUUGGUGGGUCUUGACCCCCGCCGAACCGGCGUAAACGCACUAAAGUACCCCGCCUGGGAAGUACGGUCGCAAGACUAAAACUCAAAGGAAUUGACGGGGGCCCGCACAAGCGGUGGAUCAUGUGGUUUAAUUCGAAGCAACGCGAAAGAACCUUACCUGGAUUUGACAUCCUCGGACAACCCUAGAGAUAGGGCUUUCGUAGCAAUACGAGGAGACAGGUGCUGCAUGGCUGUCGUCAGCUCGUGUGGUGACAUGUUGGGUUAAGUCCCGCAACGAGCGCAACCCUUGUCCUUAGUUGCCAGCAUUCAGUUGGGCUCUCUAAGGAGACUGCCGUGGUUAACACGGAGGAAGGUGGGGAUGACGUCAAGUCCUCAUGGCCUUUAUAUCCAGGGCGACACACGUGAUACAAUGGUCGGUACAGAGGGAUGCGAACCCGCGAGGGGGAGCUAAUCUCAAAAAGCCGAUCUCAGUUCGGAUUGGAGUCUGCAACUCGACUCCAUGAA
rnacentral:rRNA from 1 species